rnacentral:lncRNA from 7 species
ACCGCUUCCUCGGAGUCGUCCACGCCCCUUCCUGUGUGUAGGUGCUUGUGUGCGUCCUCAGUGAAGUGGCGCAACCUGCCAUGAGCCGGCGGACCACGUUGCUCGCCUGAAACCGCCGCCACAUCGGCCACAGACCACACUCUACCGUUGCGUCUUCAUCGGGACACCGCUUCGCCGCCGGUGUGCACUGUUGAACGCCGCCCGACGUCGACCGUUCUAUGACGUUGAGUCACCGGGAACGGGCUCGUCGGACUUCGGUGUCCGCCGUCGCCGUCAGCAGUAUAGCUCUCAAGCCUCUGUGAACCGUCUGUGCCCUUGAUGGUGUUCACCUUGGUUCGGGGUAGCUGUGGAUGAGCUCUUUUUGGUCAGAGGGGCCCUCACCGGCGGGCGUGACCGGCUGUUGGCCGGUGUUUGACCGGAGCCCGUCGUGGACUUGGAAGUGUGAAAAGGAGGGGCCUCGGUGUAAUUGUCAGUGAAACAAAUAAGGGUUAAUUAUAUCUAUGUCAUUAUAAUUUUUC